GAGUUUGAUCGUGGCUCAGGAUGAACGCUGGCGGCGUGCUUAACACAUGCAAGUCGAACGGGGAACCUUUUAUUGAAGCUUCGGCAGAUUUAGAUUGUUUCUAGUGGCGGACGGGUGAGUAACGCGUGGGUAACCUGCCUUAUACAGGGGGAUAACAGUCAGAAAUGACUGCUAAUACCGCAUAAGCGCACAGAGCUGCAUGGCUCGGUGUGAAAAACUCCGGUGGUAUAAGAUGGACCCGCGUUGGAUUAGCUGGUUGGUGAGGUAACGGCCCACCAAGGCGACGAUCCAUAGCCGGCCUGAGAGGGUGAACGGCCACAUUGGGACUGAGACACGGCCCAGACUCCUACGGAGCAGCAGUGGGAAUAUUGCACAAUGGGGGAAACCCUGAUGCAGCGACGCCGCGUGAAGG
rnacentral:rRNA from 1 species